rnacentral:rRNA from 1 species
GAUGAACGCUGGCGGCGUGCCUAAUACAUGCAAGUCGAGCGAACAGACGAGGAGCUUGCUCCUCUGACGUUAGCGGCGGACGGGUGAGUAACACGUGGAUAACCUACCUAUAAGACUGGGAUAACUUCGGGAAACCGGAGCUAAUACCGGAUAAUAUAUUGAACCGCAUGGUUCAAUAGUGAAAGACGGUUUGCUGUCACUUAUAGAUGGAUCCGCGCCGCAGUAGCUAGUUGGUAAGGUAACGGCUUACCAAGGCGACGAUGCGUAGCCGACCUGAGAGGGUGAUCGGCCACACUGGAACUGAGACACGGUCCAGACUCCUACGGGAGGCAGCAGUAGGGAAUCUUCCGCAAUGGGCGAAAGCCUGACGGAGCAACGCCGCGUGAGUGAUGAAGGUCUUCGGAUCGUAAAACUCUGUUAUUAGGGAAGAACAAAUGUGUAAGUAACUAUGCACGUCUUGACGGUACCUAAUCAGAAAGCCACGGCUAACUACGUG